ensembl:lncRNA
AACACAUUUAGUUAAUUAUGGUUUAAAUCUGUCAGCACCACUGACUGACUGGCUAGUGCUUAGCUAGCUAAUGUUAGCAAUCAUAUUUUUGCACAAUUCAUGUGAUGGGUUGCUUGCUAACUAAUGAUUUGCCUAAACACAUUUGUUGAUGAAUAUGUUGCUGUCUUUUAAUACCAAUAUGCAUGCCAAUAUGCUAGUGUCACUGUUCAGUAGGAUGUUUGUUAGCACAACAGCUAAGGUAGCUAGCUAGAAACAAUAUGAGUUGAUUUGACAUCAAAGCAAAACAUCACUUUUGAAGAUACCCUUCCCCUACCCGUGGUGUUGGAAGAGGAUACAGCAACACCCUGGAAAUAUGUUAGUGGUGCAAGAUAAGAAGCAAUCAGAUAGAAGGCAAAAAUACAGAUUGAGGCCUUCAAUCAAAUUGAGGACAGAGAAAUAUGUGUCCACCAGACAUGUAAAGGUUUUUUGCAUGCAUGGCUUUGAGAUAGGUCAAUGCCAAUGAAUGGACAUCUUUCUAAAGAUACGCUGAAUGAGUGGAACCUGCCCAGGUAGAACCAACAUAUGGCCCCCAUUUGGCCUGAUUCCGGCAUUCCAGAUCUAAAACUGCUGGCCCGGAUCUGGCAGCUGAAUCCAGCCCGAGUCCAAAAUGAAUGACUGAGUUACCAUUUUAGGGCCAGAAUCGGCCCAUCAAUGGCUCAAAUCCACUCGAAUCAACCCCUACCCCAAAAAAAUAUGUACAGUAGCAGUCAAAAGUUUGGACACACCUACUCGUUCAUUUUAGGACAAUAGUGAAGACAACUAUGAAAUAGACAUCAAAACACAUAUAGAAUCAUGUAGUAACCAAAAGAGUGUUAAACAAAUCAAAUCAAAGUUGCCACCCUUUGCAUUGAUGACAGCUUUGCACACUCUUGGCAUUCUCUCAACCAGCUUCACCUGGAAUGCUUUUCCAACAGUCUUGAAGGAGAUCCCACAUAUACUGAGCACUUGUUAGCUGCUUUUCCUUCACUCUGCGGUCUAAUUCAUCCCAAACCAUUUCAAUUAGGUUGAGGUCAGGUGAAUGUGGAGGCCAGGUCAUCUGAUGCAGCACUUCAUCACUCUCCUUCUUGGUCAAAUAGCCCUUACACAGCCUGGAGGUGUGUUGGGCCAUUGUCCUUUUGAAAAACAAAUGAUAGUCCCAAUAAGAGCAAACCAGAUGGGAUGGCGAAUCGCUGCAGAAUGCUGUAGUUGCCAUGCUGGUUAAGUGUGCCUUGAAUUCUAAAUAAAUCACAGACAGUAUCACCAGAAAAGCACUCCCACACCAUUAUACCUCCUCCUCCUUGCUUCACGGUGGGAACCACACAUGCGGAGAUCAUCCGCUCACCUACUCUGCAUCUUAUGAAGAUAGCUUUUGGAAUGCAAAAUGUCUAAUUUGGACUCAUCAGAUCAAAGGACAGAUUUCCACCAGUCUGAUGUCCAUUGCUCGUGUUUCUUGGCCCAAGCAAGUCUCUUCUUCUUAUCUGUCUUUUAGUAGAGGUUCCUUUGCAGCAAUUCGACCAUGAAGGCCUGAUUAUGUCACACCCUGAUCUGUUUCACCUGUCUUUGUGCUUGUCUCCACCACCUCCAGGUGUCGCCCAUAUACCCCAAUAUCCUCUGUGUAUUUAUACCCGUGUUCUCGGUUUGUCUGUUGCAGGUUCGUCUUGUCUCAUCAAGCCUACUAGCAUUUUUCCCAUACUCCUGUUCUCUCUAGUCCCUGUUUUCUAGUUUUGACCAUUCUGCCUGCUCUGACCCUGAUUCUGCCUGCCGUUCUGUACCUUUUCAACUCUGGAUUACUGACCACUUCCUGCCCUUGACCUCUCGUUUGCCUGCCCCCUGUUUUUGUAAUAAUAUUUUGUAACUUUGAGCUGUCUGCAUCUGGGUCUUAUCCUGAGAUCUGAUAUAUUCACACAGUCUCCUCUGAACAGUUGAUAUUGUGAUGUGUCUGUUACUUGAACUCUGUGAAGCAUUUAUUUGGGCUGCAAUCUGAGGUACAGUUAACUCUAAUGAACGUAUCCUCUGCAGCAGAGGUAUCUGUGGGUCUUCCUUUUCUGUGGUGGUCCUCAUGAGAACCAGUUUCGUCAUAGUGCUUGAUGGUUUUUGCGACUGCACUUGAAGAAACUUUAGAAGUUCUUGAAAUGUUCUGUAUUGACUGGCCUUCAUGUCUUAAAAGUAAUGAUGGACUGUUGUUUCUCUUUACUUAUUUGAGCUGUUCUUGCCAUAAUAUGUACUUGAUCUUUAACCAAAUAGGGCUCUCUUCUGUAUACCCCCCUACCGUUUCACAACACAGCUGAUUGGCUCAAAUGCAUUAAAGAAGGAAAGUAUUUCCACAAAUGUACUUUUAACAAGGCACACCUGUUAAUUGAAUUGCAUUCCAGGUGACUACCUCAUGAAGCUGGUUGAGAGAAUGCCAAGUGUGCAGAGCUGUCAUCAAGGCAAAGGGUGGCUACUUUGAAUAGUCU